rnacentral:rRNA from 1 species
UGGGGAAUAUUGCACAAUGGGCGAAAGCCUGAUGCAGCGACGCCGCGUGAGGGAUGACGGCCUUCGGGUUGUAAACCUCUUUCAGCAGGGACGAAGCGCAAGUGACGGUACCUGCAGAAGAAGCACCGGCUAACUACGUGCCAGCAGCCGCGGUAAUACGUAGGGUGCAAGCGUUGUCCGGAAUUACUGGGCGUAAAGAGUUCGUAGGCGGUUUGUCGCGUCGUUUGUGAAAACCAGCAGCUCAACUGCUGGCUUGCAGGCGAUACGGGCAGACUUGAGUACUGCAGGGGAGACUGGAAUUCCUGGUGUAGCGGUGAAAUGCGAAGAUAUCAGGAGGAACACCGGUGGCGAAGGCGGGUCUCUGGGCAGUAACUGACGCUGAGGAACGAAAGCGGGGGUAGCGAACAGG